rnacentral:tRNA from 3 species
CAGUUUAUAGCUUAUAUAAAGUAUGUUGGUUACAUCAAUAAGAAAUAGUAAAUUAUUAAUCUGA